CCUACGGGUAGCUGCAGUCGAGAAUCAUUCACAAUGGGGGAAACACUGAUGGUGCGACGCCGCGUGGGGGAAUGAAGGUCUUCGGAUUGUAAACCCCUGUCAUGUGGGAGCAAAUUAAAAAGAUAGUACCACAAGAGGAAGAGACAGCUAACUCUGUGCCAGCAGCCGCGGUAAUACAGAGGUCUCACGCGUUGUUCGGAAUCACUGGGCGUAAAGCGUGCGGAGGCUGUGUCGUAAGUCGUGUGUGAAAGGCGGGGGCUCAACCCGCGGACGGCACAUGAUACUGCGAGACUAGAGUAAUGGAGGGGGAACCGGAAUUCUCGGUGUAGCAGUGAAAUGCGUAGAUAUCGAGAGGAACACUCGUGGCGAAGGCGGGUUCCUGGACAUUAACUGACGCUGAGGCACGAAGGCCAGGGGAGCGAAAGGGAUUAGAUACCCGAGUAGUC
rnacentral:rRNA from 1 species